ACCAUGAGGUAGCUCAGUUGGUAGAGCAUGAGAUGCUUAAUCUCAGGGUUGAGGGUUUGGGUCCCACCUUGGGCU